UAUGAGAGGGAGAGAGAGAAGCAGAAUAUUAGUGAAGCAGAGUAAGAAAUGAGAGCCAGAGAAACUGGAGAUGCAGAGUGGUGGAGCUGCCUUAGAGAGCUGUAGUUGACCGUGACUUUUCUCUUCAGAGAGGAACAGAGAGACCGCCAGCCAGGCACAUGUAUCGGCUCGUCUCUGUUCUCAGCCACCUAGGCUCCAGCGCCACCUAUGGUCACUAUGUCAGCGAUGCUUUCAGUGAGAAGGAAAAGGCCUGGCUGACAUUUAAUGCCCACAAGGUGAAGCGGGCAGACGAGGCAUCGGUGCUGAGGAAGAGAGCCAGCAGUGCCUAUGUGCUGUUUUACAGCCAGCAGGAAUCUUCACACUAAAGACCCUGAUGCCUCCAUAUUGGAGCUAAGCUUAAAAAUCAGGUACUGAAGGACACGGAGGAGGUCCAGAGGCAGAGGUGUAAUGACACUCGGCUGCAUGCGUCAUUAACACAGAGCUUCCUGACCUGCAGUCUGUCUGCAUCAAACGGUGUCAAACCAAAGCCAG